CCUACGGGUGACAGCAGUAGGGAAUUUUCGGCAAUGGGGGGAACCCUGACCGAGCAACGCCGCGUGAACGAAGAAGUUAUUCGGAAUGGAAAGUUCUUUUAACAGGGGAGAAAGAGAAAUUUGACGGUACCUGAAGAAUAAGCUCCGGCUAACUACGUGCCAGCAGCCGCGGUAAUACGGAGGAAGCGAGCGUUAUCCGGAAUUAUUGGGCGUAAAGGGUGCGUAGAUGGAAUAGUAAGUCUGUUGUAAAAAUGCUGGGCUCAACCCCGUAGGGCAAAAGAUACUGCAAAGCUAGAGUAUGACAGAGGCAAGUGGAAUUAGAUGUGUAGCGGUAAAAUGCGUAAAUAU
rnacentral:rRNA from 1 species